rnacentral:lncRNA from 1 species
CCCUCCCCAAGAGCCUUUGGCCAAGGGUGCGGCGAACGGCGUAGCCCGGGGCUUGAGCCCUGGGGCUUCGCACGGAUUUGAGAAAAUGGCACUGAAUCCCAAAUGAAAGAGGAUAAAGGAGUUCAUAAAAGAACUAAGAUUACUCAAUGACUCCAUUUCAGCAGUCAUUGAUCUGGUUGAUUUUGUCCUGGAAAUCCCCCUGCUUUGUCAUGUGCUGGGCUGCUGUUUGCAAGGAUUACAGAUGAAGCAAAAGUCUUCCUGUUAGGUGAAGUUUGUGAGUGUUUGUGCACAUGUCUACAAUGCAUGUACACACGUUAUGUUUUUGCGUGUCCUAAAGAUUAAAGGUGGAUUUUGAGUGCACCAGGAGAAACCUUAGAAAGAGUUGAGGUUCUGUGGUUUUAGGGGAUUUUGUUGAUUCCUUGAAAACUAAAUGAAGUUACUAAGUUAAGAAAGCUCUUGCAUCACUAAUGACCCGUGUCGUCCAGACUAACCUAACUCUACAAAGUUUAGAGAACUUUCUCAUAGGUCAGCACCUACGGAGAUUAGUACUCAUAUGCUAAGCUUCAAAUGCUUUUCUUAGGUAUCCUUUAAAAGCUUUGGAAAAAUAUGAACCCUAAGAUACUUAGCACUUUAAUUAUAUGUUUAAAUAUUUAACAAUGAAUUUGAAAUCUCAUGUAUUGAUAAUAUCAACCUUUAUCAACAAAACUGUCACAAUCACAAUUGAAAUUCUUUUAUUGAUAACACUUUCACCCUCCCAUCUUUCUGGGAAAAAAAUAUACAAAUUGAAAAAUACUGGAAAAAGUAUUUCCUUCAAGAUAAAAUUUGUGAUAUUCCUCUCUAUGCUUUUCAUGGUAUUUUGUUAUAACUUCGUGAUUUCAAUAGCUUCUUUCAUUCCCUUGGGAUAUUAAUUGGUAUUCUUGAAACUUUCCCUGAUCCUUUCCUUUUUCUGCAAGGUAAAUACUUCUUAUUUGAAGUCUGUAUAAAAUAGAAUCCUUUCUCCUGCCAAAGUGGAGAAGGAGAUACCCAGAUGUUUGAUUGGCAGACAAAGGGACCAAGUCAAAAUGCUACUAAUACAAAUAUUCAACCAAAUUCUCCAGUUUUCAACUCCACCCCUCACUUGCAAUGCCUUCCUCAGUCCUUGGUGCUCCAGGCCCUGAACCUGUUUUGGGCUUGCUCUUCAUCUACAUUUCACUCUUAGCACCUGACUUAGGCUCUCUCAGCUGUGCUAAGACAAUGCCCACUUGUCCACUCCAUUUUCCAUCUAUUAAAUGUUAUUGGCACCCCUUAAAUAGUGUUGUAUCUUUCUCCAUAUACAGAUUAAUUUACAAAUCCCUUUUAUUGCUCUGUAGUUGGGUUUAAGGAAGGAAUAGAGGUAGGAUAUGUAGAUAUAGCUAUAAAUAGAGUUAUAUAGAGAGGCAGAGAAGAGCUUUGCUGUGGUGCUAAGCCAGGGACUCCACAGAGGUCUAAAAUAUACAUCUAAGAGCUACUGGACCUCUUUAAUUCCUAUAAUAUAGUGGUCACAAGUAUUUGGAUGACUAUAUGCUCUCCUAGUAUCAUAACAUAUCAUAUCACACUUAAUAUCAUAUGUCCAAAUAUUUGUGUCCACUAGGUCAUGGGUUGAGUAGUCUCCUAUUUUCUUACUAGGUAGACUAGCCAACAAAGGUAUUAAAAUUAAAAGAGGGGACUAUUGAUUAUCCAGUACCUAUGCUUGAAAAAUAAAUAAUAAACCAUGGUUUUAGCGAAAUUUGAGUGAGCAGAGCAACUACACACACACAUACACACACACUCAUGCACACACACAUGCACACACCUUCACUAUUUUUUUUCUGAGAAGUAGGAAUCUUUGUAGGCUCUGUGCUUUGCACAGGAAAGUUUAGUCUGUAAAAAUAGAAAUUAUUUAAUUUCUCAAAGAAGUAGCUAUUUCUGGCUGCUUCUGUGUCAUUGAGGUAAAGGAAUAGGGGCAUAAUGAAAAAUUCACCUAGAAGGAAAGCAGAGCCCUUGAGCCAGUGUACGUAUCUUUUCAUUGACCCAGCUGCUCAGGAAACAUCAGACUGAGAUAUGUCCAAAUACAUCAAUUUGGUCUCUAAUUUUGGGCUUAAAUGUACCAAGCAUUAGUGAAUGUCACUGCAGUUCCCAGAGACUAAAGAGGCAUCAACCUCUCUGUGCAGCCUGCAAGCCUCCUUGUGAGGAAACCAUUAUUCUGCUACUCAAUUAACUGCUAUGGAGACAGAGAACUAUGUGCCCAGGAGAGAAAACCUUCCUUUGUGGACUAAUCAAAAUCCAAUGGCUUCUGGAAAAGGCUUGAAAAGAUCAUUAAUUAGGAAGGAUGCCUAAAUUUGGCAUUCAAGGAAAUGGUGUACAAGUCUAACAAUAAAGGCAUAAAGAAUAAAGUCCACAGACCAUCAGGAUGUCUGGGCUCUUGCUGACUUAUCUUCUAUAGCUUCUAAGCUCCAGUUGUAUCUCUAAUUACUGGUUAACCAUUUGGAUUUGAUGGUGAGGUUCUUAGGAUCUUUUUAUAUAUUUAUCUCUCUGAUUUUUUUAACCCCUCCAAAGAACAAUACACCAAACCAGAAAUGGGAAACAGAGGGGCAAUUUCUGUAUUAAAUAAUUGUAAGUUACUCAUCCAUAAAAAGAAUGAAAUAAUGCCAUUUGCAACAACAUGGAUGGACCUAAAGAUUAUCACACUAAGUGAAGUAAGUCAGAAAGAGAAAGACAAAUAUAUGCUACACUUACAGGUGGAAUCUAAUAAAAAUGAUACAAAUGAACUUAUUUACAAAACAGAAACAGACUUACAGACUUUGAAAACAAAUUUAUGGUUACCCAUAGGGAAACAUGGAGGGAAAGGAUCAAUUUGAAGUUUGGGAUUAACAUAUAUACACUACUAGAUAUAAAACAGAUAGCCAACAAAGACCUACUGUAUAGCACAGGGAACUCUUCUCAAUAUUUUGUAAUAACCUAUAUGAGAAAUGGAUCUGAAAAAGAAUGAAUAUAGGUAUAUGUAUUACUGGGUCACUCUGCUAUACACCUGAAACUAACACAGUGUUGUGAAGCAACUAUAUUCCAAAAGAAAAUUUUUAAGUGGAAAAAUUUUAGAGAAAUAUCUCAGCAACCAUUUGGAGAUGACCUUUUUACUCUAACCCCUGAGCUAUAGCAGAUGAUCAUCAAUGUUAUUUGCACAAAUGAUUAAAAUAUUACUUAUUUCCUGUGUCAGAAUCAUUCUAAUUUUUUAUGAAUGAGAGAUUCCUCAAUCUUAUGUGAAAAGAUGGAAAGAAUGUGAUAGUUGAAUGUGAAGAUGUUGAAGCUGAUGGGACCACAUAGUUGUAAGCAGAUUCUCCUUGUAUUUCUGUUCUGCCUAUAUCCACAAAGUACCUGGAAGGACCUCUGUUAAAACAAGGAGUAAAUCUGAUCUGUAAAAGCCUCUUUAUGAAAUGCAGCUAAGUAAAAAACAAACAAACAAAAAACUCCCCCUCUUUUUCAUUUUCAAAGUGGUGGGGUUCAGAGUAACAUAUAUUACAAUUUUAUUUUUGUGCUUUUUUCAUUCCAUAGACCAUUUCCUGAUGAAAGCCCCCCCAACUUCACCUACUUGAUAUAUAAAAAUAAUGAAUUUGAUGGAAAUUUUUUUCUGAGACCAAUGAGUACUAUUUUGAUCAAUUUGAAAUGUUAGUUUAUAUAUUUUACUGGUAAUUCAAAUUGAGAAGCUAUUUUAGAAUAAAACUUGGUUGCUUUAAUAAAGACACAAAUGGUAUUUUAGUGGUGUAAAGUUGGUAGUUUAUUUACCUGUCAUGUGAGAAUUCAGGGAAUGUGAUCCAAAAUGAUGGAUUUUUCUGCUCCACAUAGUCAUUCAGUGAGCAAGGUCCUUUUCCUUUUAAUUUUCUUCCAUCCCUUAGGGAAUCGUUUUCAUGGGUCAAAAUCAAGUUAUUUUUAUAUUAGGGGGCAGCUGGAAAAAGGACAGGUCCUCACUGUUCCAAGAAACCAGCCCUAAGUGGCACAUGGCACAUUAUUUCCACUCACUGGCAAGGCUUUAGUCCCAUGGCCAGGCUUAAUACAAAGGAGCUGGGAAACCGUGACCUAGAGCAGUAGUCAAACUUUUCUAAGGGUCAGAUCAUAAAUAUUUUAGACUUUAUGGGCCAGACUAGCUCUGCUAUUGUAGUUUGAAAGCAGUCACAGACAGUAGUAAAAGAAUGAAUCUGAUUGUGAUUUUAAUAAAGCUUUACUUAUAAAAGAGGCCACCAGACAUGCCCACCAAGCCUAUCAUGAUGGAGGAAGUGGCAGAGAGACCUUUGUGCAAAGUGAACAGCUUCUGUCAUAACAGCAGCCAGUUUUAAAACUCAGUUUUCUGCUUCUUAUGUAAAUAGAAUUUUUGCCAAUUCUACAUAAGGAACUGUACCAGGCUAAUAUUUGGUUUGUAAACCACCUUGUAGUUAAGAUAAAAAGUGUAAAAAAAUAAGUAAACCAGAGUUACGGUAUUUAAUGAGACUCAAAAUCUUAUUUGCUAUUUCUUCAAACUGCAUUGAGUUUGGAAGUUGGAGAAUACUUUUAUUCUUAUGAGUUU